GAUGAACGCUGGCGGCGUGCCUAAUACAUGCAAGUCGAGCGAACAGACGAGGAGCUUGCUCCUCUGACGUUAGCGGCGGACGGGUGAGUAACACGUGGAUAACCUACCUAUAAGACUGGGAUAACUUCGGGAAACCGGAGCUAAUACCGGAUAAUAUAUUGAACCGCAUGGUUCAAUAGUGAAAGACGGUUUUGCUGUCACUUAUAGAUGGAUCCGCGCCGCAUUAGCUAGUUGGUAAGGUAACGGCUUACCAAGGCGACGAUGCGUAGCCGACCUGAGAGGGGGAUCGGCCACACUGGAACUGAGACACGGUCCAGACUCCUACGGGAGGCAGCAGUAGGGAAUCUUCCGCAAUGGGCGAAAGCCUGACGGAGCAACGCCGCGUGAGUGAUGAAGGUCUUCGGAUCGUAAAACUCUGUUAUUAGGGAAGAACAAAUAUGUAAGUAACUAUGCACGUCUUGACGGUACCUAAUCAGAAAGCCACGGCUAACUACGUG
rnacentral:rRNA from 1 species